rnacentral:lncRNA from 1 species
ACACUUAAGUGUUUAAAAAGUGGUCAAAAUCUUUCGUAAGAUGAACUUGAAAUUUGAGGCCAAAAUCGGUCCUUACCGGACCUACUCCUUUAGUCAACAAUGAUUUUGUACUAACACUCUCAUACGCUUUUUAAAAAUCUAUGAAAGCUGUGAAUGUUGAUAACCUUUUUCAGUUUUCUAGUUUCAAUAAUUUAAGUUAUUGUACUUAGAUGAUCAAUCGUACUUCUACCUUUAAGGCAGCCAUUUUGCUCAUCCUGAAUAAUGUCUUUUUGUUCUUACCAAUACAUUAAUCUAUUAUUCAGUAUACUACAAUAUAAUUUAUAAGCACAGGGCGCUAAAGUUAUGCCUCUGUAUGAUAAAUGAUAUUGUUGAUCUAAAGUUGAAG